GGAGGGAGUACCAUACAUGGACGGACAGCCUGAACUCUGAGCUCAGAAUUAGCAAGCAGCUUGUUUGGUCUGGGCGAUGGAGCCGGCCGGGGCUGCUAGCUACGCGACAAGCGAGUGGGAUUGCAGAGCUGGAUAGAGUUAAGUAAUGCGAGCACCCUAGUUGCGCUGAUUAGACGUUGACAGAGCCGCGAGGUCGCGGGGGCUGGCCGAAUCCAUGGAGCAACGGUGGUGGUGUGCGGGAGUGGAAAUAGUUUCUUAAUCGCCUCCACUAAUCACACUGGCAUCUGAUUGAGCAAUCCAUCAAUCGAAUCAUCAAUCUAUCUAUGUAUCU
rnacentral:lncRNA from 1 species